AGCGCAGGCGGUGCGGCAAGUCUGAUGUGAAAGCCCGGGGCUCAACCCCGGUACUGCAUUGGAAACUGUCGUACUAGAGUGUCGGAGGGGUAAGUGGAAUUCCUAGUGUAGCGGUGAAAUGCGUAGAUAUCAGGAGGAACACCGGUGGCGAAGGCGGGUCUCUGGGCCAUUACUGACGCUGAGGAGCGAAAGCGUGGGGAGCGAACA
rnacentral:rRNA from 1 species